GACGAACGCUGGCGGCGUGCUUAACACAUGCAAGUCGAACGGAAAGGCCCUGCUUUUGUGGGGUGCUCGAGUGGCGAACGGGUGAGUAACACGUGAGUAACCUGCCCUUGACUUUGGGAUAACUUCAGGAAACUGGGGCUAAUACCGGAUAGGAGCUCCUGCUGCAUGGCGGGGGUUGGAAAGUUUCGGCGGUUGGGGAUGGACUCGCGGCUUAUCAGCUUGUUGGUGGGGUAGUGGCUUACCAAGGCUUUGACGGGUAGCCGGCCUGAGAGGGUGACCGGCCACAUUGGGACUGAGAUACGGCCCAGACUCCUACGGGAGGCAGCAGGGGGGAAUAUUGCACAAUGGGCGGAAGCCUGAUGCAGCAACGCCGCGUGCGGGAUGACGGCCUUCGGGUUGUAAACCGCUUUCGCCUGUGACGAAGCGUGAGUGACGGUAAUGGGUAAAGAAGCACCGGCUAACUACGUG
rnacentral:rRNA from 1 species